rnacentral:rRNA from 1 species
CACGUAGGGGGCAAGCGUUGUCCGGAAUUAUUGGGCGUAAAGAGCUCGUAGGCGGCUCGGUAAGUCAGGUGUGAAAUUCCAGGGCUCAACCCUGGAACGCCACCUGAUACUGCUGUGGCUAGAGUCCGGUAGGGGAGCGUGGAAUUCCUAGUGUAGCGGUGAAAUGCGCAGAUAUUAGGAGGAACACCAGCGGCGAAGGCGGCGCUCUGGGCCGGAACUGACGCUGAGGAGCGAAAGCAUGGGGAGCGAACAGG